GAUCAACGCUGGCGGCGUGCAUGAGACAUGCAAGUCGAACGGACACACGGGGCUUGCUCUGUGUGUUAGUGGCGGACGGCUGAGUAACGCGUAGGUGACCUGCCCCGAAGUGGGGAAUAACUGCCCGAAAGGGUGGCUAAUACCGCAUGUGGUGGUGCGUUCGAUCGCAUCAGUAAAGCCGCAAGGCGCUUCGGGAGGGGCCUGCGUCCGAUUAGCUCGUUGGUGGGGUAACGGCUCACCAAGGCGACGAUCGGUAGGUGGUCUGAGAGGACGAUCACCCAGACUGGGACUGAGACACGGCCCAGACUCCUACGGGUGGCAG
rnacentral:rRNA from 1 species